GCCCGAAUGGCGGAAUUGGCAGACGCGCUGCGUUCAGGUCGCAGUUCUCGCAAGGGAGUGGAGGUUCGAGUCCUCUUUCGGGCA
rfam:Acidobacteria bacterium 13_1_20CM_58_21 13_1_20cm_full_scaffold_923, whole genome shotgun sequence.